rnacentral:rRNA from 1 species
GGGCCCGCACAAGCGGAGGAACAUGUGGUUUAAUUCGAUGAUACGCGAGGAACCUUACCCGGGCUCGAACGGCAGAGUGAUGAUGGGGAAACUUAUCAGCCAGCAAUGGACUCUGUCGAGGUGCUGCA